UUUAUCCGCACUCAUUUAGCUAUCGACGAAUCACAGAGCGCUGUGAUCUUGAGCCCUCGUAGUCAUAGUUUGAGACUAAUAAGUGAGUCUCCAAGGUGAAGGUGUCGGCGAAGUGAGAGUGGGAAGAGCAGAGGAAGAAAGAAACGCACUGAAAAAAUUCGGAAGAGUUAUUGUGACCGAACAGUCUAAUUGAAAGACACGCAAAAUUCACUAAGCAUCUAGCAAAGGCCGAAUGUCAGCUUGCAUAAAUUAAUUUUUAUUUGUCAUAAUUUCUAAUGCUGAUUUGCGGUUACAGGUUUUAUAAAAUAUCUGGAGAGCGAGUGACGGUGACCGAAGUUUUUGCCGCGAAGCAGAAUACCUCACCGAGAAAAGAUUAGUACCAGCACGGAGACAAGGAGUUUGCAGCUCAUUGAGCGAGUGCAUCAUAAAAUUAUAAAAACUCCAGGUACAAAUAUCAUGUCUGAAUAAUUUCUCGGGUGUGCGGCAUCAGCCAGGCUCUCAUGUCGGCUGAAGGUCAUCGCCAUUUCGCGUUCGGCCACAAUCAUUAGUUUUAGUAAAAUAUUUAAGAAUUAAUUUAGAAUAAAAUU